rnacentral:rRNA from 1 species
GCGGCGGACGGGUGAGUAACACGUGGGUAACCUGCCCAUAAGACUGGGAUAACUCCGGGAAACCGGGGCUAAUACCGGAUAACAUUUUGCACCGCAUGGUGCGAAAUUGAAAGGCGGCUUCGGCUGUCACUUAUGGAUGGACCCGCGUCGCAUUAGCUAGUUGGUGAGGUAACGGCUCACCAAGGCAACGAUGCGUAGCCGACCUGAGAGGGUGAUCGGCCACACUGGGACUGAGACACGGCCCAGACUCCUACGGGAGGCAGCAGUAGGGAAUCUUCCGCAAUGGACGAAAGUCUGACGGAGCAACGCCGCGUGAGUGAUGAAGGCUUUCGGGUCGUAAAACUCUGUUGUUAGGGAAGAACAAGUGCUAGUUGAAUAAGCUGGCACCUUGACGGUACCUAACCAGAAAGCCACGGCUAACUACGUGCCAGCAGCCGCGGUAAUACGUA